rnacentral:rRNA from 1 species
GAUUAACGCUGGCGGCGUGCCUAACACAUGCAAGUCGAGCGGCAGCGAGUUUUACACUGAAUUCUGGAAGCUUCUAGUUGAAAGAGAAGAUUUAUUCAAGAAUUUUGUGUAAAAUGUCGGCGAGCGGCGGACGGCUGAGUAACGCGUGGGAACGUACCCCAAAGUGAGGGAUAACGCAUCGAAAGGUGUGCUAAUACCGCAUAUGGUCUUCGGAUUAAAGCCUUCGGGCGCUUUGGGAACGGCCUGCGUAAGAUUAGAUAGUUGGUGGGGUAAUGGCCUACCAAGUCGACGAUCUUUAACUGGUUUGAGAGGAUGAUCAGUCAGACUGGAACUGAGACACGGUCCAGACUCCUACGGGAGGCAGCAGUGAGGAAUCUUCCACAAUGGGCGAAAGCCUGAUGGAGCAACGCCGCGUGCAGGAUGAAGGCCUUCGGGUUGUAAACUGCUUUUAUAAGUGAGGAUUAUGACAGUAACUUAUGAAUAAGGAUCGGCUAACUACGUGCCAGCAGCCGCGGUCAUACGUAGGAUCCGAGCGUUAUCCGGAGUGACUGGGCGUAAAGAGUUGCGUAGGUGGUUCAAUAAGCGAAUAGUGAAAGCUGGUGGCUCAACCAUUCAGACUAUUAUUCGAACUGUUGAACUCGAGAGCAGAAGAGGUAGCUGGAAUUUCUAGUGUAGGAGUGGAAUCCGUAGAUAUUAGAAGGAACACCGAUGGCGUAGGCAGGCUACUGGGCUGUUUCUGACACUGAGGCACGAAAGCGUGGGGAGCGAACCGGAUUAGAUACCCGGGUAGUCCACGCCGUAAACGAUGGAUACUAGCUGUUUGGGGUAUCGACCCCCUGAGUAGCGAAGCUAACGCGUUAAGUAUCCCGCCUGUGGAGUACGAUCGCAAGAUUAAAACAUAAAGGAAUUGACGGGGACCCGCACAAGCGGUGGAUCAUGUUCUUUAAUUCGAUGAUAACCGAUAAACCUUACCAGGUCUUGACAUCCUUGGAAUCUUUCAGAAAUGAGAGAGUGCUUUUUAAGAGCCAAGUGACAGGUGAUGCAUGGCCGUCGUCAGCUCGUGUCGUGAGAUGUUUGGUUAAGUCCAUCAACGAGCGCAACCCUUGUCAGUAGUUGUAUUUUUCUACUGAGACUGCCCCGGUAACGGGGAGGAAGGAGGGGAUGACGUCAGGUCAGUAUUUCCCUUACGUCCUGGGCUAGAAACGUGAUACAAUGGCUAGUACAAUGCGCAGCGAAGCCGCGAGGUGAAGCAAAUCGCAUCAAAGCUAGUCCCAGUUCGGAUUGUAGGCUGAAACUCGCCUGCAUGAAGUCGGAAUCGCUAGUAAUCGCAGAUCAGCAUGCUGCGGUGAAUACGUUCCCGGGUCU